AAUCCAUAGGUUAAUGAGGCGAACCGGGGGAACUGAAACAUCUAAGUACCCCGAGGAAAAGAAAUCAACCGAGAUUCCCCCAGUAGCGGCGAGCGAACGGGGAGCAGCCCAGAGCCUGAAUCAGUGUGUGUGUUAGUGGAAGCGUCUGGAAAGGCGCGCGAUACAGGGUGACAGCCCCGUACACAAAAAUGCACAUGCUGUGAGCUCGAUGAGUAGGGCGGGACACGUGGUAUCCUGUCUGAAUAUGGGGGGACCAUCCUCCAAGGCUAAAUACUCCUGACUGACCGAUAGUGAACCAGUACCGUGAGGGAAAGGCGAAAAGAACCCCGGCGAGGGGAGUGAAAAAGAACCUGAAACCGUGUACGUACAAGCAGUGGGAGCACGCUUAGGCGUGUGACUGCGUACCUUUUGUAUAAUGGGUCAGCGACUUAUAUUCUGUAGCAAGGUUAACCGAAUAGGGGAGCCGAAGGGAAACCGAGUCUUAACUGGGCGUUAAGUUGCAGGGUAUAGACCCGAAACCCGGUGAUCUAGCCAUGGGCAGGUUGAAGGUUGGGUAACACUAACUGGAGGACCGAACCGACUAAUGUUGAAAAAUUAGCGGAUGACUUGUGGCUGGGGGUGAAAGGCCAAUCAAACCGGGAGAUAGCUGGUUCUCCCCGAAAGCUAUUUAGGUAGCGCCUCGUGAAUUCAUCUCCGGGGGUAGAGCACUGUUUCGGCAAGGGGGUCAUCCCGACUUACCAACCCGAUGCAAACUGCGAAUACCGGAGAAUGUUAUCACGGGAGACACACGGCGGGUGCUAACGUCCGUCGUGAAGAGGGAAACAACCCAGACCGCCAGCUAAGGUCCCAAAGUCAUGGUUAAGUGGGAAACGAUGUGGGAAGGCCCAGACAGCCAGGAUGUUGGCUUAGAAGCAGCCAUCAUUUAAAGAAAGCGUAAUAGCUCACUGGUCGAGUCGGCCUGCGCGGAAGAUGUAACGGGGCUAAACCAUGCACCGAAGCUGCGGCAGCGACGCUUAUGCGUUGUUGGGUAGGGGAGCGUUCUGUAAGCCUGCGAAGGUGUGCUGUGAGGCAUGCUGGAGGUAUCAGAAGUGCGAAUGCUGACAUAAGUAACGAUAAAGCGGGUGAAAAGCCCGCUCGCCGGAAGACCAAGGGUUCCUGUCCAACGUUAAUCGGGGCAGGGUGAGUCGACCCCUAAGGCGAGGCCGAAAGGCGUAGUCGAUGGGAAA
rnacentral:rRNA from 1 species